rnacentral:rRNA from 1 species
UACGGAGGGUGCAAGCGUUAAUCGGAAUUACUGGGCGUAAAGCGCACGCAGGUGGCUGAGAAAGUCGAUUGUGAAGCCCUGGGCUUAACCUGGGAAUUGCAGUCGAAACUACUCGGCUAGAGUAUGGGAGAGGACAGUGGAAUUCCCGGUGUAGUGGUGAAAUGCGUAGAUAUCAGGAGGAACACCGGUGGCGAAGGCGGGUCUCUGGGCAGUAACUGACGCUGAGGAGCGAAAGCGUGGGGAGCGAAACAGG